ensembl:lncRNA
AUGUUCUAUACUUCUGUUAAUGUAACCAUAGUCCCUAUGAGCUUUUUUGUGACUAUUUUUUACAGACUGUCCUUGAGCCUUUCCUGCAGGCCCAAGACUCUUUCCUACCAGCUGCUGCUCAGGCUGAACCCUAUCCUAGUUUAUAGGAACCCCAUACCCAGGCGGAGUGUGGACUCUGGCCGGGAGUGCCUGGACUGCAGGGUGAGAUCUGUUUGCCUUUCCAAGCAGCAUGUGCUGGUCGGGGAUGGAGAGUGGGGGGCAGAUGAACCCCAGAAGCCAAGCUCUCAUCCUCUUCUUCCCUGUGCACCAUGUGCCUUGGUGAAUCCCUUCUCGUCUCUGGGCCUCGGUUUCCCCAUCUGCCAUGGGCUUGGCUCUGCCCAGUCACUCUUCCUCCAGUACAGGCUUCCUGGGCUUGCCUCUGUCUUGGCUCCUGCUCAGCCAGGUGUCCAGUCUCAGGCCUGUCCCAGCCCGGAACAAUGGGCCGGGCUGGGCCAGUCACUCAAGGCCCCAGACUCAGUCCCCAAGGGCUCACCCUGAACUAUUUUCAGCCCUUGGAGAUGGAGUCAGAAAAGGAUUUUCCACUCCCAGCACAAUGGCUGCCCUGGACCAUUGUCCAGCAGUGACCAGGAGAUCCGCCCACCCCAAAAUACCUUCCCUGCCCCUACCCUCUGGGCGUCCCCACCUUGAUAGGCUUCCCGGGGCUGUCAACUCCCAAAGGCUGUUGUGAAGCAGUGCGUGAGUCCCCCGGAAGACAGGACCAGUUGGAUUCAGUUUUCCCUCCUGGCAGGGACCCCAGGAAUUGUGUGGCUUCUUAGAGGGAUGAGAGGCCCAGAGAGUGCCGUGCCUUGCCCGAGGCCACACAGCAGUCAGCAUGGAGACUAGAUGCGAGGUCUGUGAGGCCUCUGCUGCCCUCAUCAGCUCUGGGCUGCACCUUCUGAGGGCUCACCUUGGAAGGCCACAGGUGGGCCUGCUGGAAAGAGGCCUGAGGGACAUGGGUGGAAGGGGGUGUACCUUGGGAACCUGGGGCACCCUAUUCAGUCCUGUUUUUACCAAAUGUGGUUUUUGCUUGCACUGAACUCAGGGUUACCAAGUUGUGGGAAAGAAGGAGGUUGGGGGCCCAGGGAAACUGAGGCAGGAGGAGCAGGGUUCUGGCCCCGCUCAGCCAUCACCAGCUCUGUGACCACAAAUUCAAUGUCUUUGUCUGUAAAAUGGAACUGCUAAUACUUCUUUUUCCAGUUUACUGAACAAUGAGAAUGCAGGAAGGCACAAACACAGCUAUUUUAUUUUCCUAUCAGUACUGCCUACUCCAUGUCUAAUUUCCUUCCCCAUCCAUAAACUGUUUAUAUGGCAAACUCCAAAUAUUUGAGUCACUUGUGAGUAACAAAGUUCAUUCCAGCUUAAGGUUCCAACCGCUACUUAAUUUAAUGCCCACCCCUCUUCUUCCCCGGUGCGGGGAGGACUCUCCUCACCCCUCCUUUGGGUGCCUCUCUCCUCCGGGUGUCAGGCAAGUUGGGGAGGAGGAAAGGGACCAGUAUAUCUUCCCCAGGACUGCCACAGCCCUUCCUUGCUUCUCUGGCCGUGACAACGUGACCAUCAGUGACCCUCCGUGGGGAGCCCUCCAAAAGCCAACCCACACCUUUGUAAAGAGUCUCUUCAUUCACCCAGUCUGAGUGUGCCCCAUCUUUCUUGCUGAGACUAACUCCUACACCCGUCUCCUGAGUGACUUUCCUAGAGCACCGCUCGCCCGGCUUGGCUGAGAGCUCACAGCAGCAGGGUCGCUUUCAAGGUCACUGAGCCCAGGGUUCAGCUUCUAGAAUCAGCAUGGAGGGUGGUCGAGGACUGGGGUAAUAAACUCUGAGAAGGUGCCUGACCCCA